rnacentral:tRNA from 1 species
GAGUACUUAGCUUAGUCGCAGAGCAUUAUGUUGACAACGUAAGGGUCAUUGGUUCAAUUCCAAUAGUACUCA